rnacentral:ncRNA from 1 species
CCUUAAUAUAAUUAAUAUAUAACCUUAUAAGUACAUUCAACUCAAAACUAGUGCGAACAAGGGGAAUCUAACUGUUUAAUUAAAAAAAACAUUUUGAUGGUCCCCACAGAUGUUGACAUAAUGUGAUUUAUGCCCAGUUCUUUGCGCCAUGUCAAAGUGAAGAAAUUCAACCGAUCAUGGGUAAACGCUGGGAGUAACUAUGACUUUAUUAAUGUAGCCAAAUGCCUCGUCAUCUAAUUAGUGACGCACAUGAAUGGAUUAACGAGAUUCCCACUAUCCCUAUCUACUAUCUAGAGAAACCAUAACCAAAGGAACGGGCUUGGAAGAAUUAGUGGGGAAAGAAGAACUUGUUGAGCUUAAAUAUAGUUUGACUUUUUGAAAUGACUUGAGAGGUGUAGAAUAAGUGGGAGCCGUUUUCGACGCAAGAGAAAUACCACUAAUUUUAACAUUAUUUUACUUAUUCUAUGGGGUGAAGACUGGACAUUGCCCCUGUUUUUGGCCAUAAGACACGUUUCAACGGGUUGAUCUGGGUGGAAGACAUUGUCAAUAUGGGAUUUUUCUUAUUCCUUUAACAUUAUUUUACUUAUUCCUUGAAUGCUUGUGGAAUAAAUGAGAUUCUUACAAAUGGACGAGAAAUUUUGAAGUGGGU